UCUAAAUGUAGCUUGAUUAGUUUUAGUGCUACUCAUUGUUCACAAAGCUGGAAAUUUCAUUCAAUAUUGUGGUUAUUUCUCAUUUAUGUCAAUAUUGUCCCUCAUUUAUGUGGCUAUUUUUCAUGUUAAGAAUGUUUAUUUUUUGUCUUUGGGUCUGUUAUAAGAUCUUAUGUGCAAUUUCCUUUCAUCUCAAGUUAGCGAUGUAUUCUUAGUAUAUCUUUUCUUGUAUCUCGUAAGUUAGUCGUUAUGUAUUUCCAUUCUUUGUUCUUGGAUACUAGCUGGUGCUU
rnacentral:lncRNA from 1 species